CCCAGACUCCUACGGGAGGCAGCAGUGGGGCCUCUUUCACAAUGGUCGCCCGCCUGAUUCAGCCCUGCCGCGUUUCUGCAGAAGGCCUUCUGGUUGUAAAUUCCUUUCAGCGGGGAGGCAGGCGAUAAGUUUCAUAACCUUGUCGAUUGACGUUACCCGCAGAAGAAGCACCGGCUAACUCCGUGCCAGCAGCCGCGGUACUACGGAGGGUGCAAGCGUUAAUCGGAAUUACUGGGCGUAAAGCGCACGCAGGCGGUCUGUCAAGUCGGAUGUGAAAUCCCCUGGCUCAACCUGGGAACUGCAUUCGAAACUGGCAGGCUGGAGUCUUGUAGAGGGGGGUAGAAUUCCAGGUGUAGCGGUGAAAUGCGUAGAGAUCUGGAGGAAUACCGGUGGCGAAGGCGGCCCCCUGGACAAAGACUGACGCUCAGGUGCGAAAGCGUGGGGAGCAACCAGGAUUAGAUACCCCCGUAUA
rnacentral:rRNA from 1 species